rnacentral:rRNA from 1 species
UACAGAGGGUGCGAGCGUUAAUCGGAAUUACUGGGCGUAAAGCGUGCGUAGACGGUUAUUUAAGUCGGGUGUGAAAGCCCCGGGCUCAACCUGGGAGUUGCAUUCGAGACUGAAUAGCUAGGGUACGGUAGAGGGAAGCGGAAUUUCCGGUGUAGCGGUGAAAUGCGUAGAUAUCUGGAGGAACACCGGUGGCGAAGGCGGCGUCCUGGACCAACACUGACACUGAGGAGCGAAAGCCAGGGGAGCAAACGGG